GCAGUACUCUCUAAUCAGACUAUAAAAGGCCUUUGACUAUAAGGCAAUAAAAAGGCAAGCGACAGGGGAUUGCUACUGAAAUAGCUACUGGCCUUCAACUGACUUCUAAGCAAGGCUCCAGCAGUCGACAGACCACUAUCUGAGACCACCCACAGCUGCAAUGGAUGAAUUGCUUCAUGUCAUGUAAUUCCUCUAAAACUUUGAAAUGGCUUGAUAUGGAGUGAUGAUUUGAUAAGGAUGGCUAAAGAGGAGAAAUGUUGUGAAAUCACCAGACAUCAUAUGUCCCCUGCUCACUGUCUACUUUCACACUGGGCUGGUAGGCCAUUCAGUGCCACCAGCCAGAGACAGAAUCUGUCACACCCUGUUUGUGUGUAAGUGCAUGCGUUACUGAGUACAUACCCUUUACAACGGAAGAAGUACAGUCCCUCACAUCCUUCAUAUUAAUUUCCCUUCUGCUGGAUUUGAAAAUAUACAUCAAUGCAUGUGGGAAUUUUACAUCAUAGUCCUUAUCUUGCAGAUACUAAAUUAUUCAUGAAUUGAGCCCAGGGCCCAUCCCCCUCAUACGCCCAGCCCAACUCCUUCCUGAGCCCAGGGCCCAGCCCACCCCCCCCAUCCUAAGCAUUACAGUACACUCACUGGGGCUGGAGGUGUAGGUGCAGCCGGUGGUGGUGGGUGGAGAUGAAUCAGAGUCCACUGAGGCGGUGUCCUCAUCCUGGGAGCAGCCGGCCUGGAUAGCCCGCAGGUAGCUGUGGCUGCGGGAGCGAAAGCACGUCGGUGUGGGCAGGUUCAGAGCCUCCACCGCCUGGGACUCCCCCUCGCAGUACAGCGAGCGCCCGCAGCCCUGCCCACACACCUGAAAGGACACGUGCAGGUUGACACGUUGGGGGCGGGGACUUAGGCGACUGCUAGCCCGCCACCGCCUGUGAGGCGAAAGCAGUGCAAGUCUCGGGUGGCAGGGCAUGCUUCUGGAGUAAGGUAGUGGUGUAUGGUGAGAGAGUGGGAAGGAUCCUGUUUCCCUCAGCUCACAAGAGCCCAAUCAAAAGGACUGUUAGAUUUACCAAAGAAACUCAUGCACUGAUUAAGGACAGUAUCACUAUCUCCAGAGGAAAAUGGGCACAGGAGUUAUCAUGCACAGUCAAAAUUGUACUUAAUGAAACGGAUUGAUCAAAAGUAAGCUAAUUCAAUAACCAUGUUGAAGAUAUCUCAUUAUAUCAAUAUUCUGUUUGAGCUUUGUGUUCACUGAUACAAUACAGUGAGUACACAGAUUCCAUCUGUGAAAUACCACAUAAAAUGUUUAAUCAGUGAUGACAAGCCAGCGGCGUCAGAUUUCCCUUUCCUCUUCCCUGGAGCUAAUGCAAUCACUGUGACUGAGGCAUCAACAGCCUCCCACUACAAGCUGUCCACUCUCUCCACAUCAUAGUCGUAGUGGUUGUGGUGGUGUCUGAUUUUGCUCAGCUCAGCGACGCUAUUGAUCUACAGGACUUGUUUAUUUGUGUAGCACAUUUACUAUAGGCUCUGGCGUUGACAACAUGACACUUUUCCACAACAGCAGAUUCACCAGCAGAAAUAUAUCAUAAUACAACUGUAUAGACUGGACAGGAAGUAGGUAUUGUAGAGAGACCGACCAGCUGAGUCAACUUCACCUGUCCACCCUGCGAUAAGGGCUCGUUUCACUGUUCAAACAGUGCCAGAGUGGAGGAGGAGGAACAAUGAUAGCCUAUUACGCCCCAGACUUCUAUACCAGGCUGCUGUGAUGUUCAAGGUUUUAAUGAUGUUGGUAGCAGGUGGAGUCCGUGUUUGUUCGUCCUGCUUUUGCAGUGUGAGGAGGAUGCUGGUGCCAGAGUUGGCACAUGGUCAUCAUUGUAUCCCCCAAGAAAGAAAGGAGAUGUAAACAGGGAUGCUCAGUAUUCAAAUCAAAUGAUGAAACUUCACACCAUUUCAUGAUAUUUACACAUUUUUCCUUGGUUGCUGCUUAUCUGUUAUUUGAUCCAUUAGAAUCUUGCAAUACUUUUAACCAUGGUUUUGGAAUGAUUAUUACCAUCUUGAAACCAUCUUUAUGGUCUAUAAUUUUAGCACGCAAGCUGAUAUUGUCUGUACUCCUUUUUCUACCCAAUGAAAAGCCUUGAUGGAAAGGCAUCGAUGUAUUACAACCUCUCCUGUAUUCGAUUUUAUGCACAGUUACAGCCAUGAACAACAAUGCAGAUCCUUUGAAGCCUCUUCUCCUGCUAAAGCAGCCAUUGUAAUCCAUCAGGUAUCAAUCCCGAUAAAACGCUGCAGUUCAUUCAUAAAAAAACUUGCUUUUAUCCCAAAGAGAUUUUCUUGUCAUCUCCCAAAUUCAAUGAAUCAAAUAUGAUUUGACAAUAACAAAAGAUUCCUGUAAGAGGUAGAGGGUAAUUUAACUGCUGUCAUCUGUAAUAUGAUGCUAUUUUAACUCCAUGAGCAUAUGUGGCGUCGGGUCUUCCAUCUGAAAGUAGUCUGGUGGUCUUGAUAAAAACCUAGGCUCAUGUCUAAAAAUUACUUUCAAACAUCAUUCCUAUUCCUGUCUCUUCUGGCUUACUGAAUGUUUAACCAACCAGCAUCUCACCACACACAUAAUCUGAAAUAUUCUAUCCCUGCCUGCAGUCACAGACAGAGGAUUCUGCUGGCUCUGCAAUGCACCAUGCUGUCAACAUCCUAUUAAUUUCUGGUUGUUGUUUCAGGCUUGAAGCUUGUCCACACUGAAGGUCUUUGCACUGACUGAGGGCAUUCUUUAUGAAUAAUUCAUUUUAUUCAGUAGUACCUACAUCUGUCACACUUCUGUUGUAUUUGCUGUAUGGGGGUAUUAUUCCCACACAAACUGACAGGCCUGUUUUAGACCCUGAUGAAGAGUGUCCUGUGUAAUAGAGAGAGUGGACUUACAUACCUGCCCACUGCUCAUCAUGCUCCUGCCCAGGGUAGCGUAGCUCUGGUGGAAGUCUUUGCCAUCGUCCCAGUGCCGCAUGGCCAUCGGGGGCUCUCCUGGGCUCACCAAGCAGUCCAGGUUGUCCAGGCUCCGAUUGGUGGAGAGCUCUCUCAGGGAGGGGAGACAGCUACAGGGAAAGGGGGGAGAAUUAGCUGCUGAAAUUACCCCUCAACAGUAAGGAAAAUACUUGGAUGAAGGGUGGGGAGGAAACGUGACGUCUUGGGUUGAUGAGAACUGCUGGUGCUGGAGCAUCCAUUUUCAGUGGAUGCUUUGAACCUUCUCCAAACCUCUUGUGAUUUUGUGAGAUUAAAUACCAGUGAGAUGAGAGGAUAUUGGGGUGUAGCUGGGUAUCAAAAUGACAGCACAGAGGAAACAUUGAGUCGUCAGUAAACAUCAAAACAAAAGGGAGCAAAUUUGAGUUAUUUUUUGCUUUGUAAUCAUUAAUGGAAUCUGCUGAGACGGAGAUCGUUUCCUCUGUUCUGACUUGUCUGUAAGAAGGCACCUGUUAGUGGGAAUGUGUGUGCCGGGGUGAGGGUGGAAGGGGUUUGUAUGGGGGAUCAGUGGUUUAUAAUGAGAGACAUGACUGGAUUGGCUGUGGCUGGGAUACUAACACACCACUCGGAGCACUUGGUAAUAGAUGGGGCGUGGGAAGGGGCACGACACAAAGCACUGGGGUGGUUAGAGAGAAGCGGCAGCAGCGGUGGGCAUGUGUGAGUGGAGGGCCGUGCUGCCCCCCUCCAUAAGACACUGACCUGGCCAAAUGCUGCAUUGAGCAUGCACUCUGUAGCGGAGACCACAGUACCCCAUUAUCCUUCAGCAUGAGAGCGUAGCAGCGAGGCCUGCCGGUUUGGGUGGUGGGGAACAUGACAAAACAUUUCACCUUUUUGACCUCAAAUGGAAACUUUUGGUUACCUGUUGCUGGUAGGUGAUUUCCUUUUCCUAUAAAUGAACAUCCCCUAAGAACAUGUUAAGCUGAUAUGUACUCCUAAUGAACAAGGGUCUGUUGCAGCCUGCAGGUUUUACCUUGCAUAUACUGUAGAAACUGUUCCACAUCAGUGUCAGGAUUCUGCCCCCUGCUGUCCAUUUGUGGUAGCCACUUUAAUUGAAUUGUAUUGUUAUAUUCAACUCUCUUUUAGAGCAGGCAGGUUUCCAUGCAGGUUGUCUGUAGCUACUUCUCUAUAAAAUAAUACGUUCCCUCGGA